rnacentral:rRNA from 1 species
GACGAACGCUGGCGGCGUGCUUAACACAUGCAAGUCGAACGGAAAGGCCCUGCUUUUGUGGGGUGCUCGAGUGGCGAACGGGUGAGUAACACGUGAGUAACCUGCCCUUGACUUUGGGAUAACUUCAGGAAACUGGGGCUAAUACCGGAUAGGAGCUCCUGCUGCAUGGUGGGGGUUGGAAAGUUUCGGCGGUUGGGGAUGGACUCGCGGCUUAUCAGCUUGUUGGUGGGGUAGUGGCUUACCAAGGCUUUGACGGGUAGCCGGCCUGAGAGGGUGACCGGCCACAUUGGGACUGAGAUACGGCCCAGACUCCUACGGGAGGCAGCAGUGGGGAAUAUUGCACAAUGGGCGGAAGCCUGAUGCAGCAACGCCGCGUGCGGGAUGACGGCCUUCGGAUUGUAAACCGCUUUCGCCUGUGACGAAGCGUGAGUGGCGGUAAUGGGUAAAGAAGCACCGGCUAACUACGUG